CGGGUGCAGUGGCUCAUGCCUGUAAUCACAGGAGUUUGGGAUGCUGAGGUGGGUGGAUUGCUUGAGGUCAGGAGUUAGAGACCAGCUUCACUGACAUGGUUAAACCCUGUCUCUACUAGAAAUACAAAAAUUAGCUGGGCAUGGUGGCAUGCGCCUGUAAUCCCAGCUACUUGGGAGGCUGAGGCAAGGAGAAUCGCUUAAACCUGGAAGGCAGAGGUUGAAGCAAGCUGAGAUCAUGCCACUGCACACCUUGAGAGGAUCAUGACUGAAGAUGUUGAUCACUGUAAUCUCACAGAGAACUCCGUUACAGAGACCCCCUCAAUGUGCUGUUCCAGGAGAAAUUUAUAUCAAAUCUCAUUAUUGUGUAAAAUAUACUGCCAAGAAACUAGAAAGUUUAUACCAUAUGUCUAUAGUAAACUUUGAAAUUUGCUUUAAGUUUUUGCUUUGGCUGCUAGAAAAUUUAGAGUCACAUAGAUGACUUAUCUCUAGCGAUGAUGUAGGAUUGCAUGGUAUAGAUUUUGGGAACAAUGCUUUUUUAAUUCCUUACUUUAGUUUCAUUGUUACCUCUAUUAUUAUUAUUAUUUUUUUUUUUUUGCCUCAUAUCUGUGUUACCCAGUGGCAUUACAUGCAUUUGUGUAAACUGGUAUUUUGGAUCAGGUUGAGUGUUAUCAAUGUAUACAAGAAAUACAUAAUUUUUAGAAGCAUAUAUUGCUUUAAAUUUAUGAACUGAAUAUGAACUAAAUAAAACCCUAGG
rnacentral:lncRNA from 1 species